rnacentral:tRNA from 1 species
UCCCUGGUGGUCCAGUGGUUAACACACUGCGCUUCUAAUGCAGGGGUGAGGGUUCAAUCCCUGGUCAGGGAC